rnacentral:other from 15 species
GCGAGGCUGCAUGGUGCGUUAGGGCACACUGUAUCCCCGGGGCCUUAUCGAUCCGAACGGGAGCUGUCCCUGUCCUGGCCCGUGGGCUGGGGUACACGGCGCCCACCUACUUUGUAGGCACCCGGGAUCGAAUCGCUCGACGGCCGAUGUGGCUUCGCC